CCUCCAUUUCUUGGCAUACAUGUAGUUGUUUAGUACUCAUGUGUGUUAUGUACGGAGGAAAAACAAAUGCAGCGCUAUGUCUUCGGUGCCGGUGUGUGUUCCAUCGUCUGCCGGUUCUAUCCUCAAUCGCUGUUACAUUC
rnacentral:snoRNA from 1 species